CCUACGGGAGGCUGCAGUGGGGAAUAUUGGACAAUGGGGGAAACCCUUAUCCAGCGACGCCGCGUGAGGGAAGAAGGAUUUCGGGUUGUAAACCUCUGUCAGUGGGGACGAUAAUGACGCUACACCCCGUGGAAGCCCCAGCUAACUACGUGCCCGCAGCCGCGGUAAUACGUAGGGGGCAAGAGUUGUCCGGAUUUACUGGGUGUAAAGGGAGCGUAGACGGGAGGACAAGUCUGAAGUGAAAAUCAGGGGCUCAACCCCUGAACUGCUUUUGAAACUGUUAUUCUGGAGUGAAGUAGAGGCAAGCGGAAUUCCUAGUGUAGCGGUGAAAUGCGUAGAUAUUAGGAGGAACACCAGUGGCGAAGGCGGCUUACUGGACUGUAACUGACGGGGAGGCUCGAAAGCGUGGGGAGCAAACAGGAUUAGAUACCCCAGUAGUC
rnacentral:rRNA from 1 species